rnacentral:rRNA from 1 species
CCUGCUCAAUGAUUCUCCCUUCAAUAGCCGCUUUAAGUGCUAAGGUAGCAUAAUAAAUUGCUCUUUAAUUAAGAGAUAGAAUGAAAGGAAUAACGAUUUAUUAAUUGUCUCAAAAUAUUUUAAAUAAAUUAUCAUUUAUGUCAAAAUUCAUCAUCUCAUCAGAAGGACGACAAGACCCUAUCGAACUUCUACUCAUAAUUUUACUGGGAAGGUAAAAAAUUAUAUCUUUACUAAUUCUUCAAUCCACGCUCCAAUUGAAUAAAAAUAAGUUACCGUAGGGAUAACAGCAUAAUAGUUUAAUAAAGCUCCUAUUUAACAAACUGAUUAUGACCUCGAUGUUGAAUUAACAGCCCUAUUUGAAGAAAAAUCCAAAAAAGGAAGUCUGUUCGACUUUUUAUAUGUUACAU